CUUCGGGAUGCUGACGAGUGGCGAACGGGUGAGUAAUGUAUCGGAACGUGCCCAGUAGUGGGGGAUAACUACUCGAAAGAGUGGCUAAUACCGCAUGAGAACUGAGGUUGAAAGCGGGGGACCUUCGGGCCUCGCGCUACUGGAGCGGCCGAUAUCAGAUUAGGUAGUUGGUGGGGUAAAGGCCUACCAAGCCGACGAUCUGUAGCUGGUCUGAGAGGACAGCACCAGCCAGCACUGGGACUCGAGAACACGGCCCAGACCUCCUACGGGAGGCAGGCAGUGGGGAAUUUUGGACAAUGGAUCGCAAGUCUGAUCCAGCAAUGCCGCGUGCAGGAUCGAAGGCCUUCAGGUUUUAAACUGCUUUUGUACAGAACGGAAAAGGCUUUGGCUCAAUACUUGGGGCUCAUGACUGUUAUUGUAAGAAUACGCACCUGCUUAACUACGUGCCCCGCAGCCGCGGUAAUACGUAGGGUGCGAGCGUUAAUCGGAAUUACUGGGCGUAACGCGUGCGCCGGGUGGUUUUGUAAGACCGAUGUGAAAUCCCCGGGCUCAACCUGGGAACUGCAUUGGUGACUGCAAGGCUGGAGUGCGGCAGAGGGGGAUGGAAUUCCGCGUGUAGCAGUGAAAUGCGUAGAUAUGCGGAGGAACGCCGAUGGCGAAGGCAAUCCCCUGGGCCCGCACUGACGCUCAUGCACGAAAGCGUGGGGAGCAAACAGGAUUAGAUACCCUGGUAGUCCACGCCCUAAACGAUGUCAACUGGUUGUUGGGUAUGUUGCUUACUCAAUAACGAAGCUAACGCGUGAAGUUGACCGCCUGGGGAGUACGGCCGCAAGGUUGAGACUCAAAGGAAUUGACUGGGGACCCGCACCAACGGUGGGAUGAUGUGGUUUUAUUCUAUGCAACGCGAAAACCCUUACCCACCUUUGACAUGGCAGGAAUUCCGGAGGAGAUUUGGAAAGUGCUGGGAAAGAGAACCUGCACACAGGUGCUGGCAUGGGCUGGUCGUCAGCUUCUGGUCCUGGAGAUGUUAGGGUUAAAGUCCCGCCAACGAGCGCAGACCCUUGCCAUUCCUUGCUACCUAAAGGGCACAUCUAAUGGGACUGCCGGUGACCGAACCGGAGGAAGGUGGGGAUGACGUCAAGUCCUCAGUGGCCCUUAUAGGUGGGGCUACAGCACGUCAUACAAUGGCCGGUACAAAGGGUAGCCAACCCGCGAGGGGGAGCCAAUCCCAUAAAGCCGGUCGUAGUCCGGAUCGCAGUCUGCAACUCGACUGCGUGAAGUCGGAAUCGCUAGUAAUCGUGGAUCAGCAUGUCACGGUGAAUACGUUCCCGGGUCUUGUACACACCGCCCGUCACACCAUGGGAGCGGGUUCUGCCAGAAGUGGUUA
rnacentral:rRNA from 1 species